rnacentral:rRNA from 1 species
UACGGGGGGGGGCAAGCGUUGUUCGGAUUCACUGGGCGUAAAGGGUGCGUAGGUGGUGAGGUAAGUCGGAUGUGAAAGCUCCGAGCUCAACUCGGAAAUGGCAUUGGAAACUACCUUGCUCGAGGGUUUGAGGGGGGACUGGAAUACUUGGUGUAGCAGUGAAAUGCGUAGAUAUCAAGUAGAACACCAGUGGCGAAGGCGAGUCCCUGGAAAACUCCUGACACUGAGGCACGAAAGCUAGGGGAGCAAACAGG